rnacentral:rRNA from 1 species
UGCAUCGUGAAAGAACGCAGCGAAAUGCGAUAAGUAGUGUGAAUUGCAGAUUCAGUGAAUCAUCGAAUCUUUGAACGCACAUUGCGCCCUAUGGUAUUCCGUAGGGCAUGCCUGUUCGAGCGUCAUUUAC